GUUUUCUUCUCUCCCGUCUCUCUCCAAACCCAAACGUUUUCUUCACCACCGUCCCUCCCUUCUCUCUCUUAACUUUCACGGACGGAUUGAAAGUGGGUCAUUUUUCACGUUGAUUUGGGGGCUUUCGGAGGGGGUGCAAGACGCAAAGAAGGCAAAGCUAUAGUAUUCAAGGAUUGGAAAUGAAGUCGUGUCUGCGCAAGUUACUCCAUUUUUAGUUAACUUUUUCUUGAAUUCAUAGUCUGAAAGUAAAUUAAAAAAAGAUGGAGGGUAGUCUUGCAAAGAGCUCUACUCAAAAAGUUUGAAGCUAUCAAUUAUGUAUUUAGGUUCUUCUUCAACUUCCAUAAGUGAAUAAAGUGAUUCACAUUGUAUGGCUGUAAUUUAUCUUUUUUGAUAUGAAUCUGGUGGAACUGGGUACUUGACUUGCUAUCUUUCUUUCCUACUUUUCUUUUUUUCCAAAGAUGUUAAGAAAUUAAUCCAAGUCCUUGGUUGAGUUACUUCCAAUUAAGAUUAUUCCCAUGAACACCUCGUAUCUGAACAUUUAGUAGGUUUUCUAG